rnacentral:rRNA from 1 species
GGCCAUGUCACGCUGAACAACCGGUUCUCGUCCGAUCACCGAAGUUAAGCAACCUCGAGCCUGGUCAGUAUGGGUGACCGCUUGGGAAUACCAGAUGCUGUAAG